rnacentral:lncRNA from 1 species
GUCAGUGCCUCCUUACAUUUUGUAUCCUAGCCAUGCUACUAUCUCCUACUUAAUUUUGCAGAGGUAACAACUAAAAGAGUUUCUUGGGCCUCCUUCUUUGCAUUUUUCAUGCAUUUGUAAACUUAAGCUAGUCUUUUUGCUCUCACCUUGUGGGCAGCACAGAGACAUGCAAAAGAAACACAAAUCUGAUCCCCAAACCGCACAGGGUAUUCUAGAUCUUCAUCAUGGCACUCUGAGUGGGUCACAUGGCACACAACAGCAAAACACAUUUAAACCCAGAUUUCUCUUACAUGGGCCACAUCUUAUGGCAAUUGCUGCAGAAUCUCUCUGUUCUGUUCCUAAAAGCUCCAAGUACUUCUUGCCUUCCAUUUCCUCCCUAGGUGCCUCUGCAUCCAUGACUACUUCACAUGGAUGGCAAUUUGGCGAAUUGAGGGUUUUAAACCUGUUGUACUGUCUCCCAGAUCCGUUCCAUGCAGAAUUUGAGUACUAAGAAGGCACUCCUCACUGGGGAUGUGGAAGAAAGACUGUCAGUACUUCACAGAGCCUGAGCAAACCCGAGGCUGCCCCAAGCAGAAACAGUCAUCUCAUGGAGACCAGAUAACUCCCUCAAUUGAGAGGCUUCUCUGGCCAAAGAGGGAUGGAGACAAUGACCAACUAGGCCCUAUUCCACAGCAGCCAUGCCAUAAAAUCGGGCCUUCCUCCUUUGUGAACAGCUGAUCCCCUGCUACGUGAUCAGUAUAAUGCUAGAUGCUCUGGGGGAAAAAUGAUGUAUAACGGACAAACCACAUAGAAAUGCUUCCCAAGCAACCCCAUCCUAAAGCUGUCAUGAAAGAAGACUGGAGCAAUAGAAAUUGAGAGCAAGAAAGAUCCUAGUGGACCGGGCUUGCUGGGGCGUCAUAGAAAGAAAUCAGAGAAACAACAGUGGGCAGUCUGCAGAGUGAGAAGGAGUAUGGGGGACAUGAGAUAACAGAGUCUGGAAGAGAAGAUUCAGCCUCUGCCUUUCCAUUCCCUAGUUUUGGUCCCAGGUCCCCAUGGCUGAACACUUAUCAUGUAACAGAAUUUGUUUGGAUGGGGUCUCACUGUAUAGCCUACGCUUCCCUCACUCAUGAUCAUCCUUGCUCAGCCUCCUGAGUGCUGUGACUGCAGGUGUGUGACACCACACUUGGCCUGGGGGUGAUGGGGAUGUUCUGACCAUGAGGCUGAAGUCCAAGAAAGAAUGAGCCACGAGACCACCCUGUAGCAG